ensembl:lncRNA
UCAGGCUGCUGCUGCUCAGCUCUCACUUCUCAAAGUCAGCUAUUCCCCUUUCCCUGCCUUGCCUACGAUCAUUUCCAAAGGAUGGGACUGUGAAGCAGAACCGCGGAUCGAAAGGUUUUUCAUUGCCCCCCCGCGACGUCAGAAAUAUUGGGCUGGCUGACGUCCCUUCCCUUCCCCACUCAGCUUAUGGUCCCGAGAUCUUCCAGUGCCGGAGAUGAUUACGAAUGGCAAGGUGGCUGAAUCCUGGCACAGGAGAUAGGACAGCGUGACCCCAACGAGCUACCUGAUAGACAUGGCAAAACAAAAACAUCCUUGAUUUCUUCUUGCAUGUUUUGGAGGACAUGAGCGAGUAGUGCCUGAAAUAAAGAGUCC